rnacentral:rRNA from 1 species
UACGUAGGUGGCAAGCGUUGUCCGGAUUUACUGGGCGUAAAGCGCGCGCAGGCGGUCGUUCAAGUCGCGUGUGAAAGCCCCCGGCUCAACUGGGGAGGGUCACGCGAUACUGAUCGACUCGAAGGCAGGAGAGGGUAGUGGAAUUCCCGGUGUAGUGGUGAAAUGCGUAGAUAUCGGGAGGAACACCAGUGGCGAAGGCGACUACCUGGCCUGUUUCUUGACGCUGAGGCGCGAAAGCUAGGGGAGCAAACGGG